rnacentral:rRNA from 1 species
AUGUUGGUUGUCUUUAAAUUGGGGUACCUAGUUGUCAUCUUCAAUUCAUUGUUUUCUCUAUGUUUCCAAUAUAAUCUUGAAAGGUUGGGAGAUACUUCAUUACCACAUUAUAACAUGUUGAACUUAUUGGAAUGGGGUUACUUGUUAUUAGAUUAUCAUCGCCUAUGUUAUCAAACAUUUUGUUCUAUUCUAGCAUUCACACUUCAUAAAUUAUUUCUUUUUAUCAUUUACCUACUCGAGGACGAGCAGGAAUUAAGCUUGGGGAUGCUGAUACAUCUGCAACAUAUCUAUAAUUAUGAAGUAUUCAUGCCAUGUUUAUGA